rnacentral:rRNA from 1 species
CAGUCGCCGCGGGAACACGGAGGGUGCAAGCGUUAUCCGGAUUUAUUGGGUUUAAAGGGUCCGUAGGCGGAUCUGUAAGUCAGUGGUGAAAUCUCACAGCUUAACUGUGAAACUGCCAUUGAUACUGCAGGUCUUGAGUAAAUUUGAAGUGGCUGGAAUAAGUAGUGUAGCGGUGAAAUGCAUAGAUAUUACUUAGAACACCAAUUGCGAAGGCAGGUCACUAAGAUUUAACUGACGCUGAUGGACGAAAGCGUGGGGAGCGAACAGGAUUAGAUACCCCCGUAGUCCCUGUCUCUUAUAC